AAAGCCACAAAUACAUGAUGGAAGUAAAAGCGGCGGAAAACCAUGGAUAGUGCAAUUAUUGAUAACCCAAACGAAUCACCAAAUUCCAAUUCAGAUCCAGCGGCAGGUAGUAUGUUGGAAAGUCGACCGAAAACGAUGGAAUUAGAUAAUAA